rnacentral:rRNA from 1 species
CCUACGGGUGGCAGCAGUGAGGAAUAUUGGUCAAUGGUCGGGAGGCUGAACCAGCCAAGUCGCGUGAGGGAAGACGGCCCUACGGGUUGUAAACUUCUUUUGUCAAGGGACAAAAUCAGGCUCGAGAGCCUGACCGAGGGUACUUGAAGAAAAAGCAUCGGCUAACUCCGUGCCAGCAGCCGCGGUAAUACGGAGGAUGCGAGCGUUAUCCGGAUUUAUUGGGUUUAAAGGGUGCGUAGGCGGACUGUUAAGUCAGCGGUAAAAGCCCGGGGCUCAACCCCGGCGAGCCGUUGAAACUGGCUGUCUUGAGAUGUCGAGAGGUAUGCGGAAUGCGCAGUGUAGCGGUGAAAUGCUUAGAUAUUGCGCAGAACUCCGAUUGCGAAGGCAGCAUACCGGCGGCGAUCUGACGCUGAGGCACGAAAGCGUGGGUAUCGAACAGGAUUAGAUACCCGGGUAGUC